rnacentral:lncRNA from 1 species
AGAAGAUAAUAAAAUUAUGAAUAGUAAUAACAGUAGUAAUAGUAAUAUUAAUAAAAAAGAUAAAUUAAAAAAUAUUUAUAACAAUAAAAAUUAUGAAAAUGUAAGUUGUCACAAUAUAAGGAUACCACUUAUAAUUAUUUUAAAUGAUGUACAACCAGCAAAUGAUGAUUCUUUAUAUAUGAAAAAAAAUAAUUAUGAAUAUACACAAAGUGAAAGUAAUAAUAAUAUUUCAAUAAAUAAAAAUAAAAAUGACACAAAUAAUAAUGAUAAUAAUUAUUCUAACACAUUAAUCGUUUUAGUAGAUUUUAAAAAAAUAAAAGAUAAAUAUAAACCUUAUAUAAUUAAAUAUAUAUGUGUUUUAAAUGAAAAACAAAUGUAUAAUGUACAAAAAUCAAAAAAAAAAAAAAAAAAAAAAAAAAAAAUAUAUUAUAUUUUUUCUUGUUUUUUUCAGUAAUAUAUAUAUAUAUAUUUACUUAUAUGUAGAAUUAUUUACGCUUAGACUAUAUGUAACGGUUUUCAUUUUGUUGAUUUUCAUUUGUCAUUUAAAGUAUAUAAAAAUUAUGUACAGCGUUUUAUGCGGUUUAUUUUAUUUUAUUAAAAU